CACCGGCGGCUCGAGUGGUGGCCACUUUUAUUGGGUCUAAAGCGUCCGUAGCCGGCUUGGCAAGUCCCCUGGGAAAUCUGGCGGCUUAACCGUCAGGCGUCCAGAGGAUACUGCCAGGCUUGGGACCGGGAGAGGUGAGAGGUACCUCAGGGGUAGGGGAGAAAUCUUGUGAUCCCUGAGGGACCACCAGUGGCGAAGGCGUCUCACUAGAACGGGUCCGACGGUCAGGGACGAAAGCUGGGGGCACGAACCGG
rnacentral:rRNA from 1 species